ensembl:snRNA U2 U2 spliceosomal RNA
AUUGGUUUUCAGCCUUUUGGCUAAGAUCAGUAUCUAUUCUUAUCAGUUUAAUAUCUGAUAUGUCAUCUAUAUGUAUAUACAUAGGUAUAUGUA